AGAUACAUAAGCUAUAUAAGCUAAAGAGCUCAUAACUCUUUGAUAGGAUAAUACCUUGUCUCUA
rnacentral:tRNA from 1 species